rnacentral:rRNA from 1 species
CAGCAGCCGCGGGAAUACGAAGGGGGCUAGCGUUGCUCGGAAUCACUGGGCGUAAAGGGCGCGUAGGCGGACUGAUAAGUCAGGGGUGAAAUCCCAAGGCUCAACCUUGGAACUGCCUUUGAUACUGUUUGUCUUGAGUUCGAGAGGGGUAAGUGGAACUGCGAGUGUAGAGGUGAAAUUCGUAGAUAUUCGCAAGAACACCAGUGGCGAAGGCGGCUUACUGGCUCGAAACUGACGCUGAGGCGCGAAAGCGUGGGGAGCAAACAGGAUUAGAUACCCGGGUAGUCCCUGUCUCUUAUAA